UUCGCCCUUAGAGUUUGAUCCUGGCUCAGGAUGAACGCUGGCGGCGUGCUUAACACAUGCAAGUCGAACGGGGAUUAUUUUGACAGAGACUUCGGUUGAAGUCGUUAUAAUCCUAGUGGCGGACGGGUGAGUAACGCGUGGGUAACCUGCCUCACACUGGGGGAUAACAGUCAGAAAUGACUGCUAAUACCGCAUAAGCGCACGGGAUUGCAUGAUCCAGUGUGAAAAACUCCGGUGGUGUGAGAUGGACCCGCGUUGGAUUAGCCAGUUGGCAGGGUAACGGCCUACCAAAGCGACGAUCCAUAGCCGGCCUGAGAGGGUGGACGGCCACAUUGGGACUGAGACACGGCCCAGACUCCUACGGGAGGCAGCAGUGGGGAAUAUUGCACAAUGGGGGAAACCCUGAUGCAGCGACGCCGCGUGAAGGAAGAAGUAUCUCGGUAUGUAAACUUCUAUCAGCAGGGAAGAAAAUGACGGUACCUGACUAAGAAGCCCCGGCUAACUACGUGCCAGCAGCCGCGGUAAUACGUAGGGGGCAAGCGUUAUCCGGAUUUACUGGGUGUAAAGGGAGCGUAGACGGAGCAGCAAGUCUGAUGUGAAAGGCGGGGGCUCAACCCCCGGACUGCAUUGGAAACUGUUGAUCUUGAGUACCGGAGAGGUAAGCGGAAUUCCCCGGUGUAGCGGUGGAAUGCGUAGAUAUCGGGAGGAACACCAGUGGCGAAGGCGGCCUACUGGGCACUAACUGACGCUGAGGCUCGAAAGCAUGGGUAGCAAACUAGGAUUAGAUACCCUGGUAGUCCAUGCCGUAAACGAUGAUUACAAGGUGUGGGAGGAUUGACCCCUUCGGGACGGCAAGAUAACACAAUAUAUAAUCCACCUGGGGAGACGACCCGCAAGGUUGAAACUCAAUGGAAUUGACGGGGGACCGCACAAGCAGUGGAAGUAUGUGGAUUAAUUGGAAGCAACGCGAAGAACCUUACCAGGUCUUGGCAUCCCGUGCAUAGCUUAAGAGAUUAGUGAAGUCCUUCGGGGCGACGGAAACAGAGUGGUGCAUGGUUGUCGUCAGCUCGUGUCGUGAGAUGUUGGGUUAAGUCCCGCAACGAGCGCAACCCUUAUCGUUAGUUACUACGCAAGAGGACUCUAGCGAGACUGCCGUUGACAAAACGGAGGAAGGUGGGGAUGACGUCAAAUCAUCAUGCCCUUUAUGACCUGGGCUACACACGUACUACAAUGGCUAUUAACAGAGAGAAGCGAAGCCGCGAGGUAGAGCAAACCUCAGAAAAAUAGUCUCAGUUCGGAUCGCAGGCUGCAACCCGCCUGCGUGAAGCCGGAAUUGCUAGUAAUCGCGGAUCAGCAUGCCGCGGUGAAUACGUUCCCGGGCCUUGCACUCACCGCCCGUCA
rnacentral:rRNA from 1 species